AUUGAACGCUGGCGGCAUGCCUUACACAUGCAAGUCGAACGGCAGCACGGGGGCGAACCCUGUGGCGAGUGGCGAACGGGUGAGUAAUACAUCGGAACAUACCCUAGAGUGGGGGAGUAACGUAGCGAAAGUUAACGCUAAUACCGCAUACGCACUAUGGUGGAAAGCAGGGGAGUCGCAAGACCUUGCGCUCAUGGAGUGGCCGAUGGCAGAUUAGCA
rnacentral:rRNA from 1 species